rnacentral:rRNA from 1 species
AUGGCGCAAUCUGACAUAAAAAUCAUCUGCUGGAACGUCCGUGGACUUAAUUCACGUGCUCGCCAUGAUGCCGUUCGCUAUAUCGUUCGCGACUCCCACGCCUCCAUUGUCUGUCUCCAAGAGACGAAGCUACAACUACUUGACGACUCCAUCAUCAGGGAGAUGCUUGGCCCUUGCUUCACCGCCAAUUACAUUGUCUUUCCUGCAUUCGGCACUAGAGGAGGAAUGAUCUUGGCCGCGUCAGACCGCUUCUUCACGCUGUUAGACUGCCAGGCUACUCCGGUCACCAUCUUCACCUCUGUCUCCAUGCUAAAUGAUAGCAUUGCCAGGACCAUCACUUGCGUCUAUGGUCCUUAG